rnacentral:rRNA from 1 species
CUGCGAUCAUACCAGCACUAAUGCACCGGAUCCCAUCAUAACUCCGCAGUUAAGCGUGCUUGGGCGAGAGUAGUACUAGGAUGGGUGACCCCCUGGGAAGUCCUCGUGUUGCA